rnacentral:rRNA from 1 species
UGUUCAGAUUGUGUUCUGAAAAAGCACACAUGAAGGAGGAAUAGUGAGUAAUCUACGAUCAUCAACGCGUAGGUGAAGAUAAGUUUAUACACAUUUGUAUUUUUCAAUUAUUAAAUUGACGUAACCGCACAUAGGGAAUUCACCGCCCGUCAAUUACUUCGAGUGGAUAUGGUGGAAAGCUAGACAUUGGCUAGUGCCUUGGCUGUAUAAAAUCAUUGUUUGUUAGAGGUAAUAAGUCGUAACAAGGU